rnacentral:rRNA from 1 species
CAGCAGCCGCGGGAAAACGAAGGGUGCAAGCGUUACUCGGAAUUACUGGGCGUAAAGCGUGUGUAGGUGGUUGUUUAAGUCUGUCGUGAAAGCCCUGGGCUCAACCUGGGAAUUGCGAUGGAUACUGGGCGACUAGAGUGCGGUAGAGGAUAGUGGAAUUUCCGGUGUAGCAGUGAAAUGCGUAGAGAUCGGAAGGAACAUCUGUGGCGAAGGCGACUAUCUGGGCCAACACUGACACUGAGACACGAAAGCGUGGGGAGCAAACAGGAUUAGAUACCCGCGUAGUCCCUGUCUCUUAUAA